rnacentral:lncRNA from 1 species
GAAGGACCUUGCUGUCUCCCAGCUCCUGUGGGCAUUAGGUUUCAUAAAUGUCUCUUGGGAUGAGGACAGCUCUGUAGAGCCUAAGUUUCAAAGAUUGCACCCAAGAGAGAAUUAGUGAGAUGCACAGUGGGGAGAAUGAGCCCAGCAGUCCAUCCUGUCCUGUACCUGCCUGAAUAUGGGAAGAGACCUAGUACAAAGCCAGAAUGCAGCUGGGCUUGCACUAUUUUUAGCCAUAUUAAGUCCUGUUCAGAGUUAAUGAUGAGCUCAGUUAGGUGGUCUCAGCAAUGUUGAAGAAGGGAAGGACAGAAUUGGAAGACAGGAGCUAUUUCAAAGCAGGAUUCUUCAUCUUUCUGUAAUUCCCAAACAUGAAGAUUUUAUAAACUUCAUUAGGUAGAGUAUUGCUAAUAGUGUCAUGUCAGUAAUGUUGCAUGAUGUAAUAUGGCAUUGCUAUAUUGUUUAGUGAUCAUGUGGAGCUGCAUUAAAUAAAUGAACAUAUGCCAGUGGCUUAAAUGAACA